CGAUUGUGCCAGCAGCCGCGGUAAUACAGAGGGUGCAAGCGUUAAUCGGAAUUAUUGGGCGUAAAGCGCGUGUAGGCGGUUUUUUAAGUCUGAUGUGAAAGCCCUGGGCUCAACCCGGGAAGUGCAUUGGAUACUGGAAGACUUGAAUACGGGAGAGGGCAGUGGAAUUCCUAGUGUAGGAGUGAAAUCCGUAGAUAUUAGGAGGAACACCGGUGGCGAAGGCGGCUGCCUGGACCGAUAUUGACGCUGAGACGCGAAAGCGUGGGUAGCAAACAGGAUUAGAUACCCUGGUAGUCCACGCCGUAAACGAUGAGAACUAGGUGUUGCGGGUAUUGACCCCUGCAGUGCCGUAGCUAACGCAUUAAGUUCUCCGCCUGGGAAGUACGGUCGCAAGACUAAACUCAAGAA
rnacentral:rRNA from 1 species